UUAGAAGUGAGAAUGCCGGUGUGAGUAGCGAAAGACGGGUGAGAAUCCCGUCCACCGAUUGACUAAGGUUUCCAGAGGAAGGCUCGUCCGCUCUGGGUUAGUCGGGUCCUAAGCUGAGGCCGACAGGCGUAGGCGAUGGAUAACAGGUUGAUAUUCCUGUACCACCUAGUAUCGUUUUAAUCGAUGGGGGGACGCAGUAGGAUAGGCGAAGCGUGCUGUUGGAGUGCACGUCCAAGCAGUAAGGC
rnacentral:rRNA from 1 species